UACGUAGGGAGCAAGCGUUGUCCGGAAUCACUGGGCGUAAAGCGCACGUAGGCGGACUCUUAAGUCGGUGGUGAAAUCCUGGAGCUCAACUCCAGAACUGCCUUCGAUACUGGGAGUCUCGAGUCCGGGAGAGGUGAGUGGAACUGCGAGUGUAGAGGUGAAAUUCGUAGAUAUUCGCAAGAACACCAGUGGCGAAGGCGGCUCACUGGCCCGGUACUGACGCUGAGGUGCGAAAGCGUGGGGAGCGAACAGG
rnacentral:rRNA from 1 species